AUACAGAGGGUGCGAGCGUUAAUCGGAAUUACUGGGCGUAAAGCGCGCGUAGGCGGCUGAUUAAGUCGGAUGUGAAAUCCCUGGGCUCAACCUAGGAACUGCAUCCGAUACUGGUCAGCUAGAGUUUUGGAGAGGUAAGUGGAAUUUCCGGUGUAGCGGUGAAAUGCAUAGAGAUCGGAAGGAACACCAGUGGCGAAGGCGACUUACUGGCCAAAAACUGACGCUGAGGUGCGAAAGCGUGGGUAGCGAACAGGAUUAGAAACCCGAGUAGUCC
rnacentral:rRNA from 1 species